rnacentral:misc_RNA from 1 species
GAUGAAGAACGCAGCGAAAUGCGAUAAGUAGUGUGAAUUGCAGAAUUCCGUGAAUCAUCGAAUCUUUGAACGCACAUUGCGCCCGCCAGUAUUCUGGCGGGCAUGCCUGUUCGAGCGUCAUUUCAACCAUCAAGCCCCCGGCUUGUGUUGGGGACCUGCGGCUGCCGCAGGCCCUGAAAAGCAGUGGCGGGCUCGCUGUCACACCGAGCGUAGUAGCAUACAUCUCGCUCUGGGCGUGCUGCGGGUUCCGGCCGUUAAACCACCUUCAUAACCCAAGGUUGACCUCGGAUCAGGUAGGAAGACCCGCUGAACUUAAGCAUAUCAAUAAGCGGAGGA